rnacentral:tRNA from 1 species
GCCUGGCUGGCUCAGUUGGAAGAGCCUGUGGUUCUUGAUCUCGGAGUCAUGAGUUCAAGCCCCAUGUUAGGUA